CAAACAAGAGAUAGCCUUGAUUUUUUCACAAUCGGAGGUCCAAACAAUAAUCGAUCGUCCCAAAAUUUUAACUGAAGGUAGACGACUCAUAAAGCAUCAUUCUUACCGAAUGAGAUCAAAUUUUAACGGUUCGAUAUUUCGUUAUUAAGUUUUUAAGUGUUUCCAUUUCAACAAUAGCAACGUCGAUUUUCUACAUGAUCAGAUUUAUAAACGUUGUCCGAUAUUCUGAAAUUCAAGGGAAGGAGCAAGCUUCGGGAAUUGGAACUUCUUAAAAAUGGAGUUAUGGUUAAAGGAUACAGUACAAGAAAAAGACUUAGUUAGAGAGCUGACAGAGAUAAUAUUGUAUGAGAAAGUAGGAACACAAAGAACAGAUGAGAGAGUGAUAGAUGUUGAGAUAAUGAACUUGAGAUGUGUUGCCAUUUGGUAAAUUGACAGAUGUAUUGGUGAGGGGAAAGGAAGUAGAAAACAAUGCUAAGUUACAACAAACUUGUUGUGCUGCACCAGUAUCAAGUAGCCAUGGACUAGGAUUAGGUGAAAAGGAAGCAAUAAGAGCAACAUGUUAAAUCUAGUCACACAUAAUCAACUCAAUAACAUCAAAACUUAGGAAAACUAGAGACUGUAAAUUUAUCUUAACUAUAUAAUACUAGUAUAUAAUUCAAGUUGGGUGACCAAAGAUUAACAACACUUAGCACCAAUCUUUAUUGAUCACUUCAAAUAACACAAAAUCAAAAACAGAGGAAAAACCUCAAACAACAUCCAAAUUUAGUGAUGACAAAGUCAUAACAAAGUGAAAACUAUUUUAAUUGGUCCUUCU